UUCACAACCACCACAACAUAUAUGAUCUGCUUUGUUCCCUAUAGCCUUUUUUUUGUUCUUAACAAAUUUUUCGUGUUUCACAAUUCAUAUGAUUCAUAUGCUGUUAGUUAAAGUCCACAACCCUAAAAUGGUUAAAUCUUGAUGGAGAUAUUGAAGCAGUAAUUCAUAUUUAUUUUUUGUUCUUGAUUGCACAACAUACAAAUAUAGGGAAGAUUUUAAUGGCCAGUAAAUAAUGCUUGUAUUUAUAUAUGAUCUUGUGGAAUGGUGAUAUUAGUUGUUAUGUACUUUUCCUUUUCUCGAAAAUACUUGCAGAGGGCUUGGAAUUGGCAUUGAAGGGGUGUUGAACCAUAACUCCUCGACUAAUCCUGAGUGUUUCUCUUUACCAAACCUACCUAAUAAUAUGCGUCCAGAGAAUUUCCCUUGUAACACUUUUUAUAGUUGUUGGAGCAUCAGAACUAGAACAUGUAUGAUCGAAAAAUUAUACUAGAUAUAUGGUUUAGCC